GACGAACGCUUGCGGCGUGCUUAACACAUGCAAGUCGAACGGAAAGGCCCUGCUUUUGUGGGGUGCUCGAGUGGCGAACGGGUGAGCAACACGUGAGUAACCUGCCCUUGACUUUGGGAUAACUUCAGGAAACUGGGGCUAAUACCGGAUAGGAGCUCCUGCUGCAUGGUGGGGGUUGGAAAGUUUCGGCGGUUGGGGAUGGACUCGCGGCUUAUCAGCUUGUUGGUGGGGUAGUGGCUUACCAAGGCUUUGACGGGUAGCCGGCCUGAGAGGGUGACCGGCCACAUUGGGACUGAGAUACGGCCCAGACUCCUACGGGAGGCAGCAGUGGGGAAUAUUGCACAAUGGGCGGAAGCCUGAUGCAGCAACGCCGCGUGCGGGAUGACGGCCUUCGGGUUGUAAACCGCUUUCGCCUGUGACGAAGCGUGAGUGACGGUAAUGGGUAAAGAAGCACCGGCUAACUACGUGCCAGCAGCCGCGGUGAUACGUAGGGUGCGAGCGUUGUCCGGAUUUAUUGGGCGUAAAGGGCUCGUAGGUGGUUGAUCGCGUCGGAAGUGUAAUCUUGGGGCUUAACCCUGAGCGUGCUUUCGAUACGGGUUGACUUGAGGAAGGUAGGGGAGAAUGGAAUUCCUGGUGGAGCGGUGGAAUGCGCAGAUAUCAGGAGGAACACCAGUGGCGAAGGCGGUUCUCUGGGCCUUUCCUGACGCUGAGGAGCGAAAGCGUGGGGAGCGAACAGGCUUAGAUACCCUGGUAGUCCACGCUGUAAACGGUGGGUACUAGGUGUGGGGUCCAUUCCACGGGUUCCGUGCCGUAGCUAACGCUUUAAGUACCCCGCCUGGGGAGUACGGCCGCAAGGCUAAAACUCAAAGGAAUUGACGGGGCCCCGCACAAGCGGCGGAGCAUGCGGAUUAAUUCGAUGCAACGCGUAGAACCUUACCUGGGUUUGACAUGGAUCGGGAGUGCUCAGAGAUGGGUGUGCCUCUUUUGGGGUCGGUUCACAGGUGGUGCAUGGCUGUCGUCAGCUCGUGUCGUGAGAUGUUGGGUUAAGUCCCGCAACGAGCGCAACCCUUGUUCACUGUUGCCAGCACGUUAUGGUGGGGACUCAGUGGAGACCGCCGGGGUCAACUCGGAGGAAGGUGGGGAUGACGUCAAGUCAUCAUGCCCCUUAUGUCCAGGGCUUCACGCAUGCUACAAUGGCUGGUACAGAGAGUGGCGAGCCUGUGAGGGUGAGCGAAUCUCGGAAAGCCGGUCUCAGUUCGGAUUGGGGUCUGCAACUCGACCUCAUGAAGUCGGAGUCGCUAGUAAUCGCAGAUCAGCAACGCUGCAGUGAAUACGUUCCCGGGGCU
rnacentral:rRNA from 1 species